UACGUAGGGACCAAGCGUUGUUCGGAUUUACUGGGCGUAAAGGGCGCGUAGGCGGCGUGUUAAGUCACUUGUGAAAUCUCUAAGCUUAACUUAGAACGGUCAAGUGAUACUGAUGUGCUAGAGUGCAGAAGGAGCAACCGGAAUUCUUGGUGUAGCGGUGAAAUGCGUAGAUAUCAAGAGGAACACCUGAGGUGAAGACGGGUUGCUGGGCUGACACUGACGCUGAGGCGCGAAAGCUAGGGUAGCAAACGGG
rnacentral:rRNA from 1 species